rnacentral:rRNA from 1 species
AUACGGAGGGUGCAAGCGUUAUCCGGAUUCAUUGGGCUUAAAGGGUGCGCAGGCGGACUUGUAAGUCAGUGGUGAGAUCCCGGGGCUCAACCUCGGAACUGCCAUUGAUACUGCAAGUCUUGAGUUUGGUUGAAGUGGGCGGAAUGUAGCAUGUAGCGGUGAAAUGCAUAGAUAUGCUACAGAACACCGAUCGCGAAGGCAGCUCACUAAACCAACACUGACGCUCAGGCACGAAAGCGUGGGGAGCGAACAGGAUUAGAAACCCCAGUAGUCC